AGACGUCUACAUUAGACUACCCCUGUACGUCCCAGCCGUAAACUAUGCGCGUUAGGUGUAUCGGUGACCACGAGUUACCGAGGUGCCGAAGGGAAACCGUGAAACGUGCCGCCUGGGAAGUACGGUCGCAAGGCUAGAAACUUAAAGGAAUUGGCGGGGAGCACCACAACGGGUGGAGCCUGCGGUUUAAUUGGACUCAACGCCGGGAAGCUCACCGGAUAAGACAGCGGAAUGAUUGCCGGGCUGAAGACUCUGCAUGACUAGCUG
rnacentral:rRNA from 1 species